AUAGCCCACAUAUAAGAUAUUAAACUGAUAAGAACAGAUACUACGCUUGAUCUUAGCCAAAAGGCCGAGAAAGGUAUGAGUUCUCCUGCUGCCCUCCCCCUCCUUUUAUAGCUCACUCGACCGCCUCUCCCCUCUCCGCAAGCGAGGUGGUACUAA
rnacentral:rRNA from 1 species